rnacentral:lncRNA from 1 species
UCCUUGGGUCUUUGUCCGUACCCUGGUAAUUUCAUCUCCUCUUGCGGAUGGACUCCUCACAGUUGUACUCGUUCCGGUGUAUAGAUAAGGAGGAGGUGCAGCGGAAAAGGCAGAAGACUCUUCCCAACUUCCAGGACUUUGGCCAUCCAGGGCCAGGGGCAGGAGGCGGAGGCAUGUACAGGGGAGGCGGGGCUGGUCCAGCUUCUGGAGGAGGUCCUGGAGGUGGAGGAGGUCACUCCUACUACCAGGGCUACCCUGCCUACAACAGCUACGGAAACGGCUACACUUUCUCACAUGGUGCGGCUGGGGGCGGUGCUGGGAACAGCAUGAAACACGCCCCCCAUAGACCAGCAGAUGAUGGCGGUCACACGGACAGACACCGGGAGUGGAGAGCGGUGGAGACAUUGUGUAACCAGGAGGCACAGGCUGAGGACAAGGACCAGGCCUCCACGGAACACGGAUCCGGAGCUGGGGAAUGGCUUCCGUCGCAGCAGGCUCCUUCCGCAGGCCUGGAGGACAAGACCAACUGCGACACUGGUAAAACAGCAAAGGAACUUUGAAACGAUGAUACCUGUAACUUUUAGAAUUGGUUUGAACUCUUAUUUAUUUUGUUGGCUGAACUACGUUGGAAACGCUUCGCACGUGUGUAGCAAUGUCACGUGACCCCUGAACGAAAACCCAGAAUCUUUGCGUGUCUGUCGGCACAGGUUGCGUAGAAAUUCAAUGAGUGGGUGUUCCGUUAUAAGUUUACUUGAAUGUGGAGCAGUUACACAAUGAUCUGCUGGUGUCUGCUGCUCCAGAUAGACCUAUGGGAAAACUCUGGAAAGCAGUGGAAAGCAGUAUAAACAAUGUGUAGAUAUUAUGCUAGAUAAACUGAGAUAAUAUCAUCUCAUAGUACAGUGGUUGAUUCCAGGGGCAGCAAUUCGGUGGAGCAGGUUGUGCUGGUGCUUCACAGCUCCUUGGUCGUGGGUUUGGACGCGGAUUCGAAUCCCGAUCAGUCUCUGCGGAACUUACAUGUUCUGCCCGUGUUUGAGUGGCUUUCUUCCGUGUGCUCUGGUUUCCUCCCACAGCCCUAUGACAUGUUUCAGGUGAAACGGCGACUUUACUGUAUAUUACCCUUAGUGUGUGCGUAUGAAUGAGGGUGUGUGAUUUCAAUGAGGUGGGGUGACGUUCCAUCGAGGGUAAUAUACUCCCCGCCUCACGCCCUUUGAAUAUACUCUGGAUCACUGCAUCCCUGAACUGGACAAGUGGUUAUUGAUAAUGAAUGAAUGAAUCAAUGCAUUAAAUGAAUGAAUGUAUGAGUCACUGUUUGUGAGGUCAUGAUGAGCUGUCAGAGCCUGGUUCUGUGUGACCGAUGUUGCAAGACGCAGGCACACAAAGAGGACCCUGCCCCUGUAGAUAAACAUUAUUCAUUAAGCUGCUGUCUGCAACUCUGGGUCUGGCCACAAACACACUUUCAUGU